rnacentral:rRNA from 1 species
CAAUAGCGUAUAUUAAUGUUGUUGCAGUUAAAAAGCUCGUAGUUGGAUUUCGAAUGGGAGCGGUGGGUCGGGUCCGCAAGGGCUCGUUACCUGUUUCGUCUCCGGCUCUUUUUCGGGAUUUGUUUCUGGCGUGGCUGGCAUUGAGUUGUCGGUGGCGUCGGGCCCGUCGUUUACUGUGAACAAAUUAGAGUGUUCAAAGCAAGGUGUGUCUUGAAUACAUUAGCAUGGAAUAAUGAGAUAGGACUUUGGUGGUUUCGGUGAAAGCCGGAUAUUUUGUUGGUUUGCACGCCAAAGUAAUGAUUAAUAGGAGCAGUUGGGGGUAUUCGUAUUCAAUUGUCAGAGGUGAAAUUCUUGGAUUUCUAGAAGACGAACUACUGCGAAAGCAUUUACCAGGGAUGUUUUCAUUAA